rnacentral:rRNA from 1 species
CCUAUGAAACAAAUGUCUAUGACAACAUCCAAUGUCAUCUGAUCUUGAAAGCAAAGCAGGGUCUAGUCUGGGUAAUAGUUGGAUUGGAGAUACUAAAAUAAGAAGGCAGUUAGGC